UGAACGUUGUCGAGAGCGGAGAAAAAACCGAAAUAUUAGGAAAAACUUCGAACGUUGUUAAUAUAAAUAAUUGUCUUUCAUUUACAGAGAUUGCUUCUCUUUGUUUGUCAAUCUCUUCGAAUGUUUGUUCUCUUCUGUCAGAGUUUUCUUCUCUUUUCUCAGUUCUCUCUCUCGUUAUAAUUUUUGUUUUUCUUAGGAUUUUUUCAAUUGUCUAGGGUUUUGUACAGCGCGCUGGUCUGUCUGUUCAUGUUGUUGUUUCUGGUCUGUCUGUUCAUGUUGUUGUUUAUUUGUGAUUUCUUCUUUUUUAAUUUUUCAUCUGUAGUUUCUUCUGUGUUUUUUUUUGGGUUUUGGUUUAUUUAUGUUGGUAGCAGAGGAAGACGCUGAACAAAGGAAGCGACAACUGAUGGAUGCAAAAGUCUUCUUCCAGAUAAGAUUCUCAGAAAAAUGCUGAAGUACUUCUAGUCAAGUUGUGAAAUGCUGAGUGACAAUUAAGAGAAUUUGUAGCUAUCAGGAUUGUCUGUGGGUUGAUAUAAUACAAAGAAGCUGAAAUCAUUGAAGUUAAUGCACUUGGUGCUGUUGGCAAGAUGAGGAAAAAAGAGACCCGGGUUACACGAAAUUCAAGUAGAUAGUGAUGGCUCACAACCCUUCCCAGUGACCUCAAUGCAAAAUAUUGAAUCUUGCUGUAAAUUAUUACUAGCUUGCUGCUCUUGGAACAGGCAGGUUGCCAAGUAUUUUGAUAACAAGGAUCUCACUCAGCUAGUUAUUUUUCACCAUUAUCGAAGGAUCAAGCAUAGGAGUGAAGUUGGUACAGAUUCAGAGCAACAAGAGAUGUGAUUGGUCACUUUCCAUUUCUUUUGUAAUAUUUUGAUCAAUUAUAUUGAUCUAGCUUUGUAACAUGUAAAAAAUACAAUAUCUAAUAAAAGAAAGUUAUUGAAAGGGGUUAAAAACCCCUUUCAAAGACUGAAGGGAAUGGUCAUUGGCCUUGGCCAUUCCUUAAAGUCGCUUAGUUUUUUGACAGCUUAAAGAAUGGUCAUUAGGCCAAGGCCAUUCUUUAAGGUA